GAUGAACGUUGGCGGCGUGGAUUAGGCAUGCAAGUCGAGCGAGAACCCGCAAGGGGGACAGCGGCAAACGGGGUAGUAACGGGUAGGUGACGUACCCUCCGGUCGGGGAUAGCCACGGGAAACUGUGGGUAAUACCCGAUAACCUUUCAGAGCAUGACGGCUUUGAGAGCAAAGGUGUGAUUCCACCGGGGGAGCGGCCUGCAUCGUAUUAGCUAGUUGGUGAGGUAAUGGCUCACCAAGGCGACGAUGCGUAGGGGGUGUGAGAGCAUGACCCCCACCACUGGGACUGAGAUACUGCCCAGACACCUACGGGUGGCUGCAGUCGAGAAUCUUCGGCAAUGGGCGCAAGCCUGACCGAGCGACGCCGCGUGUGGGAUGAAGGCCCUUGGGUUGUAAACCACUGUCAGAGGGGAUGAAGUGCCAGCCAGCAAUCUGGUUGGUUUGACAUAGCCUCAGAGGAAGCACGGGCUAAGUUCGUGCCAGCAGCCGCGGUAACAC
rnacentral:rRNA from 1 species